GACGAACGCUGGCGGCGUGCCUAAUACAUGCAAGUAGAACGCUGAAGGAGGAGCUUGCUUCUCCGGAUGAGUUGCGAACGGGUGAGUAACGCGUAGGUAACCUGCCUGGUAGCGGGGGAUAACUAUUGGAAACGAUAGCUAAUACCGCAUAACAGUAGAUGUUGCAUGACAUUUGCUUAAAAGGUGCAAUUGCAUCACUACCAGAUGGACCUGCGUUGUAUUAGCUAGUUGGUGAGGUAACGGCUCACCAAGGCGACGAUACAUAGCCGACCUGAGAGGGUGAUCGGCCACACUGGGACUGAGACACGGCCCAGACUCCUACGGGAGGCAGCAGUAGGGAAUCUUCGGCAAUGGACGGAAGUCUGACCGAGCAACGCCGCGUGAGUGAAGAAGGUUUUCGGAUCGUAAAGCUCUGUUGUAAGAGAAGAACGAGUGUGAGAGUGGAAAGUUCACACUGUGACGGUAUCUUACCAGAAAGGGACGGCCAACUACGUG
rnacentral:rRNA from 1 species